GGGUCAGUAGGUUGGUCGUGCCACCGGUACGUACUGGUCUCACUGAUUCCUCCUUCCUGAAGAACCGUAAUGCCAUUAAUUUGGUGUUGCGGGGAAACAGGACUGUUACUUUGAAAAAAUUAGAGUGUUUAAAGCAAGCUAACGCUUGAAUGCAUUAGCAUGGAAUAAUGAAAUAGGACGAUCGAUCCUAUUUUGUUGGCUUCUAGGAUUGACGUA
rnacentral:rRNA from 1 species